rnacentral:rRNA from 1 species
UGGGGAAUAUUGCACAAUGGAGGGAACUCUGAUGCAGCGACGCCGCGUGAACGAAGAAGGCGCUCGAGUCGUAAAGAUCUUUUAUAGGGGAAGAUAAUGACGGGACCAUAAGAAAAAGCCCCGGCUAACUACGUGCCAGCAGCCGCGGUAAUACGUAGGGGGCUAGCGUUGUCCGGAAUCACAGGGCGUAAAGGGUUCGCAGGAGGAAAUGCAAGUCAGGUGUAAAAGGCAGUAGCUUAACUACUGUAAGCAUUUGAAACUGCAUAUCUUGAGAAGAGUAGAGGUAAGUGGAAUUUUUAGUGUAGCGGUGAAAUGCGUAGAUAUUAAAAAGAAUACCGGUGGCGAAGGCGACUUACUGGGAUUAUUCUGACGCUGAGGAACGAAAGCGUGGGUAGCAAACAGG